GAAAUAUUUUCCCUCUGGAUCAAUUGGCAAAUAGUUCACGUGGAAAAUUGUUUUCGUCUAAGUCGAUUCUAAAUAUAUUAUAACCUGCUGAAUAUGCUUGAAAAAUGGCGGAAUGUGUAUUGAAAACUGUACACAAUUGACAUAUAUUGGAUAUGAGGGCUUUUAAAGUACACCUCUUUAACAGUGAAUGAUAUCGUCUAUCACGAGAACCAAAAAUGUAAAACUCAAUGAACAGGAAGAAAAACUUGUUAGAUUUGUUCUACGUACCAUUGCAGAAGAAAAUAUGAAGGGUGUAAUAUAUGAUGCUGAACUAUUGAUUUAUUUUUCUUCCAAUAGUUCAAUGACUGUUACAAGAGGAACAGGAAAACAAAAGAUGGUCAUAUGCUAUGAUGAUGACUUCAAGCCUGUCUUCAGACGGGAAACUAAAAAUUAAACAGUUUGACCAGGAAUUUUACUGGUGAAGCUUGAGUGAAAAUAUAUCUAGACUUAAAAUAUUUCAGAAGCCCUGCUUGGGGCAUUGGGAAGGGGGUGUUAUGUGGUCUAUAAAAUCUGUCUGGCUUGAAUUUUCUGUGACCUUUAAUCUGAGAUUUAAAAUUUUUCACAUAAA